rnacentral:rRNA from 1 species
UACGUAGGGUGCGAGCGUUUGUCCGGAAUUAUUGGGCGUAAAGGGCUCGUAGGCGGUCUGUCACGUCGGGAGUGAAAACUCAGGGCUUAACCCUGAGCCUGCUUCCGAUACGGGCAGACUAGAGGUAUGCAGGGGAGAAUGGAAUUCCUGGUGUAGCGGUGAAAUGCGCAGAUAUCAGGAGGAACACCGGUGGCGAAGGCGGUUCUCUGGGCAUUACCUGACGCUGAGGAGCGAAAGUGUGGGGAGCGAACAGG